AAUGGAAUGCAUUGAGAUGUGUGGGGGGUUGCAAGGAGAAAUACUAUUCAAGCCAACAAACUUAUUUCAUUUGUGAUUUAGAGGGGCACUGUGCCUUUUUCCCCGAACUUCUCCAGGGAAAGAAUGAAUGGCCAUCUCAAGGUUAUAUAAGAGUUGAUAUUUGGGAUGGAAGGCAUUGUACCACAUUAGGUUUUAAAUAAAUAGGGUUUUUGUCAUGUCACAGGAAUUCUGCAAAGCAAAAAUGUUGCUUUAACGGCACAAAAUCCAUUCAGAGACAUUCAGGAGUAAGGAAAGGAUGCUGACAGCUGGACCAGAGUACUCAGAGAAAAGGAAUUGGCUCACGAGGGAUGACAUCAAGGAGGGUCUUGAGCAGAAGUUUUCCCAUAGGGUGAAGUCUCAGGGACCGUGGAGUUUUCUGCUUGGUUCUGAAGACCUGAUCAUUGAAGCUUAAUCCAUUCUUCAUUCACUGAAAUGAAAUGCCAAUGCUCACUGCAUGACGAGGGAAUGAAGUCUUUGCUUUCACUAGAGGCAGGGGACUCUGAGAACAACAUAGGGGAGAUGGAGAAGAUGAAGCAAUCGUCUCAUUGGGUAACAGAGUCAAUAUCCGCAUCAGGGCUCAAGGGGUUCACACUAGCCCCUUGGAGGAGAGAAUUGGUAACAGUCCUUGUUGGAAUAGACAGAUUCCAGGGGAAGAGAAGGAUCAGCUCUGGACACUGGAGGAUUCUGACUCAGGCCAUGCAGCAAUAAGAAGGAACUGGAGAAGCAGUCAGUUCACCCUGCCACUUACACUGUCGGUGCAGCACAGGAGAGCAAGGGCACAGAUGCAGACAAAUGGAUCCCACUUGCAAGAACUCUCCAGUCUCAGGUGCAUGGAGCACAUGGUUACCCACAGGGGAAUACACACAGAGACCCGCACUCAAAGAAGAAACAAAACAUUUCUAUAGAUCUGUACUGUGAAAUGAAGCUCUCAUUGUUAUUGACAUACAAGAUUCUGAGGCACAUCAGCAACAGGAAAUAGAGCGUCUCUGUAAUGCAGAUCAGACACAGAAGGCAAUUUUGAGAACCAGGAAUGGGAGCAAAAGCUCAAAUGAGUGCUCAGAAAAUAAGGGGAUGAAGAGGUUGGAGGUGGCUGUAUUUCAGCUGCUAUCAUGGAACAUAAACCUAGAAAGGUACUUUUUGGUUACUACAUUUUCAACCCAUCCUUGAUUCACAUGGAUUUAGAAGUUCAGCAAAACAAUUUCCCCCCAUUUUGACAUCUUAAUUUAGAUGCAGAUAGAUAAGACAUAGAGAUGCUGAUAAGAUCAAAAAGGGAAAUCACUUGGCAAUUGUUCCUGACAUGAGCAGUCAAAUCCAUGUUUGUGGUACAGUUAGAUAUGAAUUUUUUUUAAGCAAAGUGGGAAAGAGUUCAUGGUCUGCUCUCAUUUUAUACUGGGGCUUUCAGCAUGCCCAUCUUUAGAGGUACCAGUAUCUAUUCUAACUAUUGACAAAGAAACACCUACAUACAACAUAAAAUGAACUAGAUUUAAAAAAUAGCUAUUUUUACAUUUUAUAUCAGAUCUGGAACCAAAAACCAUAAGAGCCAGUUUAGAUCUGAGGAUCUGAAUCUAAUGAACACACCAAUCCUGAAACUGAGGAGGGAAUCAAGCCCACUAGCUUGAUUAUCACUUCAAAAGUUUUUUUUCUCUUAAUUAAUUGGCCUCUCAGAGUUGG